rnacentral:rRNA from 1 species
AACGAACGCUGGCGGCAUGCCUAACACAUGCAAGUCGAACGAACCCUUCGGGGUUAGUGGCGCACGGGUGCGUAACGCGUGGGAAUCUGCCCUUUGCUUCGGAAUAACACAGAGAAAUUUGUGCUAAUACCGGAUGAUGUCGCAAGACCAAAGAUUUAUCGGCAAAGGAUGAGCCCGCGUAGGAUUAGCUUGUUGGUGAGGUAAUGGCUCACCAAGGCGACGAUCCUUAGCUGGUCUGAGAGGAUGAUCAGCCACACUGGGACUGAGACACGGCCCAGACUCCUACGGGAGGCAGCAGUGGGGAAUAUUGGACAAUGGGCGAAAGCCUGAUCCAGCAAUGCCGCGUGAGUGAUGAAGGCCUUAGGGUUGUAAAGCUCUUUUACCAGGGAUGAUAAUGACAGUACCUUGAGAAUAAGCUCCGGCUAACUCCGUGCCAGCAGCCGCCGUAAGAC